AGUUAAAGCUAUGAAAGUAAUAUGUUUUGAAAGCAUUUAAAAGGGGUUAAAUUCCCCUAUUAACUU
rnacentral:tRNA from 1 species